rnacentral:rRNA from 1 species
UACAGAGGGGGCAAGCGUUAUUCGGAAUUAUUGGGCGUAAAGGGCGCGUAGGCGGCUUGGCAAGUGGAUGGUGAAAUCCCUCGGCUUAACCGAGGAACUGCCGUCCAAAACUGCUUCGCUUGAGACCGGGGAGAGGUGAGUGGAAUUCCCAGUGUAGCGGUGAAAUGCGUAGAUAUUGGGAGGAACACCAGUGGCGAAGGCGGCUCACUGGACCGGUACUGACGCUGAUGCGCGAAAGCGUGGGGGAGCAAACGGGG